CGCCUUUUGGCGACCUCUGUGCGCGGUGCCCCACGGCAGCGUGGCCGACAUGGCGUCGCCCUUCAGCGGGGUGCUGCGGCUGACGGACCUGGACGACUAUAUCGGGCCGUCGCAGGAUUGCAUCAAGCCCAUGAAGGUGGACAAGAGGCCCCGACGUGGCGUGGCGAAGAUCCACAUCGAAGAUGAUGGGAGUUACUUCCAAGUCAGCCAGGACGGAGGGACCCAGAGGCUGGAGAAGGCCAAGAUCUCACUGGAUGACUGCCUGGCGUGCAGUGGCUGCGUCACCUCAGCAGAGACCGUGCUCAUCACUCAGCAGAGCCACGAGGAGCUGCGGAAGAUUCUAGAUGCCAAUAAGCAGACAGCAGCCCUGGGCCAGCAGAGGCUGGUGGUCGUCUCGGUCUCACCCCAGUCCAGAGCAUCGUUGGCUGCAAGGUUCCAGCUGCAUCCUGCAGAUACCGCUGGGAAAUUAACUGCAUUCUUUAAAAAAAUAGGGGUGCACUACGUGUUCGAUACUGCCUUCUCAAGGAACUUCAGUCUCCUCGAGAGCCAGCGAGAGUUCGUGCGGCGAUUCCGAGGACAGGCCGACCACAGGCAGGCCCUACCUGUGCUGACAUCCGUCUGCCCAGGCUGGAUCUGCUACGCAGAGAAGACCCAUGGCAGCUUCAUCAUCCCGUACCUCAGCACCGCCCGGUCCCCGCAGCAGGUCAUGGGCUCCCUGGUCAAGGACUUCUUUGCCCAGCAGCAGCAGUUGACCCCUGACAAGAUCUACCACGUGACAGUGAUGCCCUGCUACGACAAGAAGCUGGAAGCGUCCAGACCUGACUUUUUCAGCCAGGAGCAUCAGACGCGUGACGUGGACUGCGUGGUCACAACAGGAGAAGUUCUCAGGCUGCUGGAGGAGGAAGGCGUCUUGCUGUCAGAACUGGAGGCGGCCCCGCUGGACAGUCUGUGCAGCAGUGUGUCUUCCCAGGAGCCCACCAGCCACCAUGGCGGGGGCUCAGGGGGCUACCUGGCGCACGUGUUCCAGCAUGCAGCCCAAGAGCUAUUUGGAAUCCAUGUGGAUGAGGUCACCUACAAACCCCAGAGGAACAAGGACUUCCAGGAGGUGACCCUGGAGCAGGAAGGCCGCGUCCUGCUGCGUUUUGCUGCUGCCUACGGCUUCCGCAACAUCCAGAACCUGGUGCAGAAGCUCAAGCGAGGGCGCUGCCCCUACCAUUAUGUGGAGGUCAUGGCCUGCCCUGCAGGCUGCUUGAAUGGUGGGGGCCAGCUCCAGGCCCCUGACAUGCCCAACAAGGAGCUCCUCCAACACGUGGAGAGGCUGUACAACAUGGUCAGGACAGAGGUGCCAGCAGACGUGCCGGGGGUCCAGGAGCUGUACGAGCACUGGCUGCAGGAAGUGCCAGAGUGAAGCCCCGAAGCCAGGCAGCUGACUGGGCAGGGUUGCAGAGGGUCCAGAGGCACCACUCAGUGGGCUCAGUCGGCCUGAGGGAGGAGGACAUGCUGACUGGCCCCCUCGAAGCUCACUUCUGUUGGGGUGUGCUCAGGAGCCCCCACUGCAGCGCCAGGAGAGCCCGGGCCUGCGGCUGCAGCGGCUCGGCCACCCGUUCGAAGCUCGUCUGCUCCCUGCAGAGCACCUCCAGGACCUCAGCUGGGUCCACCUUCCCUGUGAACUUGCGCACAGGUUCCUCUCUGCAGCGAGAGGGGGUUCGUGGGGGCCUGCUCAGCAGGCACUGGCAGAGGGCACUUAAGUUCCAUCGGCCCGAUAACCGGUCCCUGACAUGUCCCUCAGUGUCCAAGUCACUGCCAGGGAGGGCCUUGGGCCUCCUGAGCCACCCUGGGUCAGGCUCAGAUGCAUGCUUCCCAGCCUGCCCCGCAGGAAGUCCAGGGAUGUGGGCCAGUACUCACGCCACCCUCAGGAAAGGGUUGUAAAGGAGCUCCUCGCCCAGAGUGGACGGCACCGUGGGCACAUCAUCCUCGUCCCUCUUCUGGAAUGACCACAGGCUCUUGUCACACACAGGGCUCCACUUUCUGUGCAAACUCAAGGUUGGCCAGCGUGUGCUCGUGGCCACAGAACACCUUCUGGAGAAAGGAUGCACUGGGGGUGCACUCUGUGCCACAGGCAGAGAUGGGGUGGUGCUCACCCCGGCCACCCAGCACCUGUCACACCCCCACACCCGCCCACCCAAUCUCCAGGGCUGAUGAGCUUUCACUCUGGACCCCGGCACAGGGCAAGUGCAAAGUGUGCAUGUGGGUUGUGUCGGGAGGGACGGGCCGCUCACUGUCUCGGGGGGCAGGGUGCCCAGGGUCUUGGCCAGGCUCUGGUACAUCUGCUGAGCUGAGCUCUCCAGGCGCCGGCCACAGCCUGCCACGGUCAGCGCGUCCCCUG